UCCCUGGUGGCUCAGACGGUAAAGCGUCUGCCUGCAAUGCGGGAGACCUGGGUUCGAUUCCUGGGUCGGGAA
rfam:TPA: Bos taurus chromosome X, whole genome shotgun sequence.